AGGAUAAUACGUAAUCAUAGAUUUUCAUUUAUAAUUCUUGUAUUCUAGGCAUGUAUUGAUAUACAUUUAUGUACUUUCUUUUAGUAAUCAUGUACGGAUUCUAUAUAAUUCAAUAUAUUCAACUCACCUCGUUAGCGAGGAUUCAACCAUUAUUCUCCUCUUUACAUUUCUUUAUGGUAUCAUUGAACUAAAUCGGGAUAACACCCGUAUAGCUUCCUAUCUCGAUCCUCACCUGUGGCUUUUCUCACAGUCUCCUCAAUCUCUAUACUCAUGGCUGAUUAUGUCUCGUCCUCACUCAUUCCUUCUUCAUCAUCGACUAUUAUCUCUCAGUCGAAUCCCUCUGCAAGUUCUCUGCUUUCGGGUGCGCUUGGCUCAGGACCCACGAAAGUUCUCUACACGGACAGGCGGAAGGGAAGCAACGGCGGCAAUAAAAACUCUGGUAGCAGAGGAGGCUCGGAAGGUUCGGAUGAUUCUGUCGAUCGGAACCCAGGAGGAAGAAAACCUAAUUUCAAAUUUGGGGCUGAAGCUUUCGGGCAGAGAAGAAAGGGGCAAGUCGGACAGAACUACUUGGCUUUGCAAUCGGGACACGCUUCUGACCGAGAAGCUGGACGAAAAAACCCUAACCAGGGUUCGGGCGGAGAAGACAACCGACUCGGUUCGGGUUCUGUCAUAUCGGGUCGGUCACACUCGGGCUGUCGAGGUCCGCGUUUUGGCCCGACUAGCCCUGGGCCUUAUCUCAUCUGGCCCAAUUCAUUUCCUCCUACCCCGACUGGCCCUGGGCUUCAUCUCAGCCGGCCCAAUUUAUUCCUCCUACAGCCCCAUGGUCCAUCUCCUCUUGGGCUCAAUCAACAGUUCGGCCCAAUGCAGCAUUUCAGGGCCGGUUCGUUUGUUAUUUGCCAGCUUUGCAAUCGUCCAGGCCACACAGCUCCAUUCUGUCAAUAUUCUGAGGCACAGGCUCAUCUCGCCCAUGGUGCUUCUCAUGGAAUUCAUGAUACAGACUGGUACAUGAAUUCAGGGGUAACACACCAUGUCACAUCUGACUUAUCUAACCUCACUCUUCAUGAUGAUACAUCACAUUCAGAUCACAUCUUCGUGGGUGAUGGUAAAUCAAUUACAGUUCUAACUUCUGGUUCCUCCACCUUUUAUUUCUCUCAACGUCCUUUACAUUUAAAUCAUAUUCUUUAUGCCCCACAUAUUUCCAAAAAUAUUAUUUCUAUAUCUAAAUUUGCUAGAGACAAUACUUGUUUCUUUGAAUUUCACCAAGAUUAUUUCAUUGUGAAGGAUCGUCAUACACGCCAGGAGCUUAUGCGUGGCCUAGUUAGAGAUGGACUCUACUGUUUCCACCCGAGAGGCAGGCGCAUCGAUCAUCCUCAAGCUCAUCUCUCUGUAUCCGGGUCAAGUGUCUUAUGGCAUCAACGCCUUGGGCACUCAUCUUUUCUCAUAGUUCAUCGUGCUUUGCAUACUUCUUGCUCUCUUAAUAAUGAUCAUGUUGGUCACAUUUGUUCUGCAUGUUAAGAGGGAAAAAUAAUAAAUAACUCUUUUCCACUUACCCUUCAUAAAAGCACCUCUUCUUUUGAGAUUGUUCAUACUGAUAUUUGGAGUCCUGCACCAAUCACUUCUCAUAUUGGUCAUCAUUAUUACAUUCACUUCCUUGAUGAUUACAGUAAAUACUCAUGGUUUUACGUUCUUAAAUCUCGAUCUGAUGUACUUAGUGUUUUUCGAGUAUUUUGUCUUCAAAUUGAGAACCUUCAUGGACGUCGAAUAAAGUAUUUUCAAUUAGAUGGUGCAAAAGAGUUUCUCUCUGCAGAUUUUUAGUCUGAAUUGCAGACCAAUGGAAUCUUCCACCGUAUCUCAUGUCCUCAUGUUCCUCAACAGAACGGCUCUGCUGAACGCAAACACCGUCAUAUUGUUGAUAUGGGACUCACAUUACUUUCUCAUUCUUCCAUUCCACCGAAAUUUUGGGAUUUUGCUUUCGAAACAGCGGUGUACCUUAUUAAUAGGUUACUUACAAAAUCCAUUGGUUUCAAAUCUCCUUUUGAGGUACUUCAUGGUAGUCUUCCUGAUUACUCUACCUUACGGGUGUUUGGAUGUCUCUAUUAUCCUUAUCUACGUCCUUACACAAGCCAUAAGUUAGAACCUCGGUCUCAACCUUGUGUCUUUCUUGGAUAUCCUUAUCGUUAUCAAGGAUAUCGAUGUUUGAAUCUUACCACUGGUCGCAUCUUCUUAUCCACUCAAGUUGUCUUCGAUGAGCGUUCAUUUCCUUUCAGGACAAGUGGGCCUAUCUCGGUGGUUGCUAAUCGAUCCUCUUCUUGUCCCGCACUUGCUACUGUAGUCCUGCCACCUUACCUAGUGAGUUACAUGUUCCUACUCCUGAGAUUCAUGACUAGUCUACUGAGUCUGGAAUUCCGAUUGAGGAUGCUGUGGAUAAUGAUGUUGCACCUGCUACUCAGAACACUCAUAGGAUGACGACACGGUCUAAGGAUGGUACUCUGCCUCCUCCUCGGUUCACCAUAUCUCGCCAUCCAUCUGCUUUCUCUGUUUCAGCUGCUUUGCAGGAACCUCAAACCUUUGCACAUGCUCAUAAACACUCUACUUGGUGGGCAGCAAUGGAGGAGGAAUAUCUGGCAUUAGUCCAGAAUCAUACUUAGGAUCUCAUCCCAUCAUCUCCUGCUCAGAAUGUGGUUGGCUGCAAAUGAGUUUAUCGCAUUAAACAGAAGGCUGAUGGCACCAUCGAUCGCUACAAGGCUUGAUUGGUGGCAAAAGGGUUUAACCAAAGAGAAGGGGUCGAGUAUUCAGAGACGUUCAGUCCAGUUAUCAAGCCAGUCACCAUUCAGACAAUUCUCUCCAUUGUUGUUUCCUCUCAGUGGCCUAUUCGACAGCUGGAUGUCAAGAAUGCAUUCCUCCAUGGCUAUCUUACUGAAGAAGUCUAUAUGGCCCAACCUCCUGGCUUUGUUGAUCCCUUUUAUCCUGAUCAUGUGUACAGACUCUGUCGUUCUUUGUAUGGACUUAAGCAAACUCCUAGAGCUUGGUUUCAGAGACUAAGCACCUAUCUUCAGCUUCUUGGCUUCUCAGAUUCCAAGGCCGACUCCUCUCUUUUCAUACUCCAGGGACCACAAUACAUUGCCUACCUCCUUGUCUAUGUUGAUGAUAUCAUUCUGACUAGGACCCUAAGAGCUCCUUUUCAGUCGAUCAUCACUGCCCUGCAGACGGAGUUUGCUAUGAAGGAUCUCGGCUCACUUCAUUUCUUUCUUGGCAUGGAGGCUCGCAGGGUUUCCACUGGACUCUAUCUCACUCAGUCCAAGUAUAUUCAUGACAUCCUUGCUCGCACCUCUAUGCUAGAUUGUAAACCCAUUAGUUCCCCUGUUACUUCAGGAUCUCGGCUCUCUCUUAAUGAUGGAAGUUCUUUCGAGGAUCCCUCACUCUACAGAAGUGUCGUGAGCAGUUUGCAGUAUCUUUCACUGACUAGACCUGACAUUGCCUAUGCAGUUAAUCAGGUCUGUCAAUUCAUGCACUGUCCUACCACUACUCAUUGGCAAGCUGUGAAAAGAAUCAUGCGGUAUCUAAAGGGAACUAUCACUUAUGGACUUCAUUUUCAUCUCAGUUCUACAUCAUCUAUCCAUGGUUUUUCUGAUGCUGAUUGGGCAGGGAAUCCUGAUGAUCGUCGCUCAGUCAGUGGUUUUGUGAUUUUCUUGGAAGCAAUCCAAUCUCCUGGAGCUCUAAGAAACAAUGGACUGUAGCUCGAUCUAGUAUUGAGUAUGAGUACAAAAGUCUUGCAAACGCCACUGCGAAGAUCUUAUGGCUACAGUCUCUUCUUAAAGAACUGGGAAUAUUGCAACGUCAUCCACCCACUCUAUGGUGUGACAAUAUUUCGGCUAUUUAUCUUACAGCGAACCCCAUCUUUCAUGCCAGAACUAAGCACAUUGAAAUCGAUUAUCAUUUUGUGCGAGAGAGAUUCAUGAGCAAGCAACUUCUUAUUCGCUUUAUCAACUCCGGUGAUCAGCUAGCUGAUGGACUCACAAAAGGCAUAUCUUCAUCCCGCUUCGCUGAUAUUCGAUCCAAGCUUCAUGUGGAGACUUCCCCGUUCAGCUUACCGGGGAGUAAUAGAGGAUGAUAUGUAAUCAUAGAUUUCCAUUUAUAAUUCUUGUAUUCUAGGCAUGUAUCGAUACACUAUAUACUUUCCUUUAACAAUCAUGUACAGAGUCUAUAUAAUUUAAUAUACUCAACUCACCUCAUUAGUGAGGAUUCAGCCA